rnacentral:rRNA from 1 species
UGGGGAAUUUUGGACAAUGGGCGAAAGCCUGAUCCAGCAAUGCCGCGUGUGUGAAGAAGGCCUUCGGGUUGUAAAGCACUUUUGUCCGGAAAGAAAUCCUUGGCUCUAAUACAGUCGGGGGAUGACGGUACCGGAAGAAUAAGCACCGGCUAACUACGUGCCAGCAGCCGCGGUAAUACGUAGGGUGCAAGCGUUAAUCGGAAUUACUGGGCGUAAAGCGUGCGCAGGCGGUUUGCUAAGACCGAUGUGAAAUCCCCGGGCUCAACCUGGGAACUGCAUUGGUGACUGGCAGGCUAGAGUAUGGCAGAGGGGGGUAGAAUUCCACGUGUAGCAGUGAAAUGCGUAGAGAUGUGGAGGAAUACCGAUGGCGAAGGCAGCCCCCUGGGCCAAUACUGACGCUCAUGCACGAAAGCGUGGGGAGCAAACAGGAUUAGAUACCCUGGUAGUCCACGCCCUAAACGAUGUCAACUAGUUGUUGGGGAUUCAUUUCCUUAGUAACGUAGCUAAUCGCGUGAAGUUGACCGCCUGGGGAGUACGGUCG